AUGCUUCCAGUCCUCAUCUCGUUCCUGGGGAUGCAUUUUUUCCUGGGAGAUGUCCAAGCACAGUCAGUUACUCAGCGUGAUGCCCAUGUCACUGUCAUCGAAGGAGACUCAGUGGAGCUCAGAUGCAACUAUUCCUAUGGUGGAGUUUCUUACCUCUUUUGGUACAUGCAGCGUCAUGGCCACAACAUCCAGUUUCUCCUCAGGUAUUACUCCGGAGAUCCCGUGGUUCAUGGCUUGAAUGGCUUUGAGGCUGAGUUUAGGAAGAGCGACUCUUCCUUCCACCUGAAGAAAGCCUCUGUGGACCUCAGCGACUCGGCUGUGUACUUUUGUGCUCUGAGUGCACAGUGUCUGGGGCUGCAGGGGGAGCUGAACACAAACCUGUAA